rnacentral:lncRNA from 1 species
AAUAAGUAACUGCAGUAAAUGUUUAUGUAGAACUUGAAGUUUUACAAACAAGAUGGAUUCGCUCAUUUGGUCCCUAUACAACAUGUCACCUGGAGGAAGGAUCUGUGUGUCACUGAAGGAGAAGAAUUCCCCAGUUCACACAGACCUAUGCACUGGGUCAACUCUUGGAGCUGUAAAGACAAAAUUGAAGCAGUCACUGUCCUCAAGGACUUCAUGGACUUCUGGAUUUUAUAGAUCUCUUGGACCCCAGGGAUCGUCCAGUUCAAUUCCAUACUGGCAGCAAGAAUUCCUCUGUAUAACGAAGCUCCUUCAGUGAAGGCAGGACCUUCCCAUUAUAUGGCAUCUGUAAAGAAUCUGACAAUCAAUAAAUCAAUCAGAAUUUACUAAAUCCCUCCA